GCUGGCGGCNCGCUUAAACAUGCAAGUCGAACGUGAAGCCCGGGCUUGCCCGGGUGGAAAGUGGCGAACGGGUGCGUAACACGUGAGCAACCUGCCCCGAAGACCGGGAUAACACCGGGAAACCGGUGCUAAUACCGGAUGCCUUCACCACGUCGCAUGGCGAGGUGAAGAAAUGGAUUCCGCUUCGGGAUGGGCUCGCGGCCUAUCAGCUUGUUGGUGGGGUAACGGCCUACCGAGGCAACGACGGGUAGCUGGUCUGAGAGGAUGUCCAGCCACACUGGGACUGAGACACGGCCCAGACUCCUACGGGAGGCAGCAGUUAGGAAUCUUGCGCAAUGGGCGAAAGCCUGACGCAGCGAUGCCGCGUGCGGGAUGAAGGCCUUCGGGUCGUAAACCGCUUUCAGCAGGGACGAUUGUGACGGUACCUGCAGAAGAAGCCCCGGCCAACUACGUGCCAGCAGCCGCGGUAAUACGUAGGGGGCGAGCGUUGUCCGGAUUUAUUGGGCGUAAAGAGCUCGUAGGCGGUUUGGUAAGUCGGGUGUGAAAUCUCCACGCUCAACGUGGAGGGGCCACUCGAUACUGCCAUGACUCGAGUCCGGUAGAGGAGUGUGGAAUUCCCGGUGUAGCGGU
rnacentral:rRNA from 1 species